rnacentral:rRNA from 1 species
AUGAACGCUAGCUACAGGCUUAACACAUGCAAGUCGAGGGGCAGCAUGGUCUUAGCUUGCUAAGGCCGAUGGCGACCGGCGCACGGGUGAGUAACACGUAUCCAACCUGCCGUCUACUCUUGGACAGCCUUCUGAAAGGAAGAUUAAUACAAGAUGGCAUCAUGAGUCCGCAUGUUCACAUGAUUAAAGGUAUUCCGGUAGACGAUGGGGAUGCGUUCCAUUAGAUAGUAGGCGGGGUAACGGCCCACCUAGUCUUCGAUGGAUAGGGGUUCUGAGAGGAAGAUCCCCCACAUUGGAACUGAGACACGGUCCAAACUCCUACGGGAGGCAGCAGUGAGGAAUAUUGGUCAAUGGGCGAGAGCCUGAACCAGCCAAGUAGCGUGAAGGAUGACUGCCCUAUGGGUUGUAAACUUCUUUUAUAAAGGAAUAAAGUCGGGUAUGGAUACCCGUUUGCAUGUACUUUAUGAAUAAGGAUCGGCUAACUCCGUGCCAGCAGCCGCGGUAAUACGGAGGAUCCGAGCGUUAUCCGGAUUUAUUGGGUGUAAAGGGAGCGUAGAUGGAUGUUUAAGUCAGUUGUGAAAGUUUGCGGCUCAACCGUAAAAUUGCAGUUGAUACUGGAUAUCUUGAGUGCAGUUGAGGCAGGCGGAAUUCGUGGUGUAGCGGUGAAAUGCUUAGAUAUCACGAAGAACUCCGAUUGCGAAGGCAGCCUGCUAAGCUGCAACUGACAUUGAGGCUCGAAAGUGUGGGUAUCAAACAGGAUUAGAUACCCUGGUAGUCCACACGGUAAACGAUGAAUACUCGCUGUUUGCGAUAUACGGCAAGCGGCCAAGCGAAAGCGUUAAGUAUUCCACCUGGGGAGUACGCCGGCAACGGUGAAACUCAAAGGAAUUGACGGGGGCCCGCACAAGCGGAGGAACAUGUGGUUUAAUUCGAUGAUACGCGAGGAACCUUACCCGGGCUUAAAUUGCAGAUGAAUUACGGUGAAAGCCGUAAGCCGCAAGGCAUCUGUGAAGGUGCUGCAUGGUUGUCGUCAGCUCGUGCCGUGAGGUGUCGGCUUAAGUGCCAUAACGAGCGCAACCCUUGUUGUCAGUUACUAACAGGUUCCGCUGAGGACUCUGACAAGACUGCCAUCGUAAGAUGUGAGGAAGGUGGGGAUGACGUCAAAUCAGCACGGCCCUUACGUCCGGGGCUACACACGUGUUACAAUGGGGGGUACAGAGGGCCGCUACCACGCGAGUGGAUGCCAAUCCCAAAAACCUCUCUCAGUUCGGACUGGAGUCUGCAACCCGACUCCACGAAGCUGGAUUCGCUAGUAAUCGCGCAUCAGCCACGGCGCGGUGAAUACGUUCCCGGGCCUUGUACACACCGCCCGUCAAGCCAUGGGAGCCGGGGGUACCUGAAGUGCGUAACCGCGAGGAGCGCCCUAGGGUAAAACUGGUGACUGGGGCU